rnacentral:rRNA from 1 species
AUUGAACGCUGGCGGCAGGCCUAACACAUGCAAGUCGAGCGGGGUUUUCGGACCUAGCGGCGGACGGGUGAGUAAUGCGUAGGAAGCUGCCCGAUAGAGGGGGAUACCAGUUGGAAACGACUGUUAAUACCGCAUAAUGUCUACGGACCAAAGUGUGGGACCUUCGGGCCACAUGCUAUCGGAUGCGCCUACGUGGGAUUAGCUAGUUGGUGAGGUAAUGGCUCACCAAGGCGACGAUCUCUAGCUGGUUUGAGAGGAUGAUCAGCCACGCUGGAACUGAGACACGGUCCAGACUCCUACGGGAGGCAGCAGUGGGGAAUAUUGGACAAUGGGCGCAAGCCCGAUCCAGCCAUGCCGGGUGUGUGAAGAAGGCCUUCGGGUUGUAAAGCACUUUCAGUAGGGAGGAAGCGUUGUGUGUUAAUAGUACACAGCGUUGACGUUACCUACAGAAGAAGCACCGGCUAACUCUGUACCAGCAGCCGCCGUAAUAC